GCCCUAAUAGCUCAGAGACUAGAGCAAUCGCCUUGUAAGCGAUAGGUCGUAGGUUUGAAUCCUACUUGGGGCUCCA
rnacentral:tRNA from 1 species